rnacentral:misc_RNA from 1 species
GUACUGGGCUGCUCAAUUUGCACGACAGCAGGAGAUGAUGCAGCAAAUAGCACUAGGGCAACGUCCAGAUUUUUCAGCGAUGACUAUGCCACCUCCUCCACCUAUCCCGCAGUUUGUACCGACUCCACAAUUUAGUUGGCCCACACCUGCACCUCAGGUCCCUCCAGGAAACUUGCUAACUCUGGGAAAUGAGGACUCUGAAGAUGCGGUCGCUUCUUUUGUGGACGGUCUUCUAAACAGUGGAGGAGCUAGCGGAUCAAAUCAACCACAUCCAUUUGAUCAACCUCCUCCAUUUGAGUAGCCUGUCUGCUUGUGUGUUUCUCGUACUAUGGACUUGUGAACUUGUGGUAUUGGGAACUUGUGUUAUUGUGAACUUGUGAACAUUGUGAAUUUGUGAACAUUGUGAACUUGUGCUUUAACUUGUGAACUUGUGUUAUUGUGUGUUUCAUGUGGUAUUGUAUGUGAUUCUGGA